rnacentral:rRNA from 1 species
ACUCCUACGGGAGGCAGCAGUAGGGAAUAUUGCGCAAUGGAGGGAACUCUGACGCAGCGACGCCGCGUGAGCGAUGAAGGUUUUCGGAUCGUAAAGCUCUGUCCUUGGGGAAGAAGGGUGCGAAGCAUCUUGACGGUACCUAAGGAGGAAGCCCCGGCUAACUACGUGCCAGCAGCCGCGGUAAUACGUAGGGGGCAAGCGUUGUCCGGAAUUAUUGGGCGUAAAGGGUGCGUAGGCGGCCUUUUAAGUCAGAUGUGAAAGACCACGGCUUAACCGUGGGGUUGCAUUUGAAACUGGAGGGCUUGAGUAUCGGAGAGGGUAGUGGAAUUCCCAGUGUAGCGGUGGAAUGCGUAGAUAUUGGGAGGAACACCAGUGGCGAAGGCGACUACCUGGACGAAAACUGACGCUGAGGCACGAAAGCUAGGGGAGCAAACAGGAUUAGAUACCCUGGUAGUC